AAGGGAGACCUAAUUCAGGUAGGAGACGAAAAAAAAGUAGUCGCUACCAAGAAUCAAUCCCAAAAGGUCGGAGCGAGGCGAAAUUGGCUUUCAAACUAGGUUCUGGGUUCACACAAGACCUGAAUCAGGAACAAGGGCUAUUAGCUCAGGUGGUUAGAGCGCACCCCUGAUAAGGGUGAGGUCCCCGGUUCGAGUCCAGGAUGGCCCACCUGUACAGGUGGCAAAAAGAAAGAAAAGAAGCGAGGAAUCAGCACCUUAUCUUACUGACAUAGUAAGAGAGAAUGCUGGCUCUGAGUAAAGAGUCCAGAGGAACCUUGAAAACUGCAUAGAGCUAGGUGAAAAAGCCAAAAAAGAAGACCGCAA
rnacentral:tRNA from 1 species